rnacentral:rRNA from 1 species
GCCCCUACGGGAGGCAGCAGUGAGGAAUAUUGGUCAAUGGACGCAAGUCUGAACCAGCCAUGCCGCGUGCAGGAAGAAGGUGCUAUGCAUUGUAAACUGCUUUUAUACGGGGGUAAUUACAGAUACGUGUAUCUGGAUGAAAGUACCGUAUGAAUAAGGAUCGGCUAACUCCGUGCCAGCAGCCGCGGUAAUGCGAAGGGGGCAAGCGUUGUUCGGAAUUACUGGGCGUAAAGGGAGUGUAGGCGGUUUAGUAAGAUAGUGGUGAAAUCCCAGAGCUUAACUUUGGAAUUGCCAUUAUAACUAUU